CAGAAAGUUCCCACUCAUUUAACAAUUUGGUAUAUAUAUUAUAACCUAGAAAAUUUCCAAAUUCGACAAGUGAUUUUACUUUUGGUAGCUUAGACUAGUUUAGAAAUAUUAGAAGCCAAGGUAUUCCAUGAUGUCAAACGGAAGUUAUGACAAAGAAAGCACAAAAGAUACCACAAGGGAUACCGCAACUGGUAAUACAAGUAUCAACCGAAGAUUUAGCUUUUGUCGUAAGCAUUUCAAAUGCAUUGGUAUAGCUUCGGUCAUUGUAUUUGUAAUAAUAGGGAUAAUAGUGUAUAUCGUGAUUGAAAAUCCACAAAGGAAAGUUUCUCCACCAUCUAGUUUGACUGAUACAAACAUUACAGCUGCAAAUAAGUGCAUUCACAAUACACCGGAAUAUUUUGUGACGAAACUUAAAAAAGAUCCAUUUAUGGGAUUAUGCGAAAUUGG